UCCCGAUGAUGAGUUGCCAUGCUAAUACUGUAUUGAGUCAUCAGGGAGGGCAGAAUUGCCCUGGUUUGGGUGCCAGUGGAUUUAACAAAAGUUCUCACAUGGAGACCUGAGGGAC
ensembl:snoRNA